CCUACGGGUGGCUGCAGUGGGGAAUUUUUCGCAAUGGGGGAAACCCUGACGAAGCAAUGCCGCGUGGAUGAUGAAGUAUUUCGGUACGUAAAAUCCUUUCGACAGGGACGCGGUACCUGUAGAAGAAGCCCCGGCUAACUCCGUGCCAGCAGCCGCGGUAAUACGGGGGGGGCAAGCGUUGUUCGGAAUUACUGGGCGUAAAGGGUGCGUAGGCGGCUUUCUAAGUUGGAUGUGAAAACUCUGGGCUCAACCCAGAGACUGCAUCCAAAACUGGAGAGCUUGGGUUCUGGAGGGGAAAGCGGAAUUCCUGGUGUAGCGGUGAAAUGCGUAGAUAUCAGGAGGAACACCGGUGGCGAAGGCGGCUUUCUGGACAGAACCGACGCUGAGGCACGAAAGCUAGGGGAGCAAACAGGAUUAGAUACCCCUGUAGUC
rnacentral:rRNA from 1 species